rnacentral:rRNA from 1 species
AAAGCAUCUGGCCUACACCCAGAAGAUUCUCAAUAUUAUGAGACAUUUUGAACUACUGCUAGCCCAACUCACUCUUAAUUAAACUAUAGAAUCAAAUUUUAAAUUAAAUCAUUUAAUCGCAUAUCAAAGUAUAGGAGAUAGAAAUGAUACACUGGCGCUAUAGAGAAAGUACCGUAAGGGAAAGAUGAAAGAAGAUAAGUAUAAGUAUAAAAAAGCAAAGAUUAACCCUUGUACCUUUUGCAUAAUGGAUCAACUAGAAUCAAUCUAGCAAAGAGAACUGGGUUAGACCCCCCGAAACCAAACGAGCCUACCUAAAAA